rnacentral:rRNA from 1 species
GACGAACGCUGGCGGCGUGCCUAAUACAUGCAAGUUGAGCGAUGAAGCUUGGUGCUUGCACCAAUUUGAAGAGCAGCGAACGGGUGAGUAACGCGUGGGGAAUCUGCCUUUGAGCGGGGGACAACAUUUGGAAACGAAUGCUAAUACCGCAUAACAACUUUAAACAUAAGUUUUAAGUUUGAAAGAUGCAAUUGCAUCACUCAAAGAUGAUCCCGCGUUGUAUUAGCUAGUUGGUGAGGUAAGGCUCACCAAGGCGAUGAUACAUAGCCGACCUGAGAGGGUGAUCGGCCACAUUGGGACUGAGACACGGCCCAAACUCCUACGGGAGGCAGCAGUAGGGAAUCUUCGGCAAUGGACGAAAGUCUGACCGAGCAACGCCGCGUGAGUGAAGAAGGUUUUCGGAUCGUAAAACUCUGUUGGUAGAGAAGAACGUUGGUGAGAGUGGAAAGCUCAUCAAGUGACGGUAACUACCCAGAAAGGGACGGCUAACUACGUG